GACGGAUGGUACGAUGGGCGAUGGAUGGAUGGAUGAUGGAUUGGACGGAUGGUGAGAUGGACAGAGACAACAGACGGAGGACGGAUGUGGUGGUUCUGAUGGACGCUGGCUAACUAGUAGUUGUGGAGCGAGCCUGAGACUUGGAGGCUGAGGACGGAGGACAGGGGAAAUCGACCGGACCAGUGGACGCUGGUGCAGGGAACGAUCAUAAAAACGCCAUCAAUGGCAAAUUGCACAGAGCAGUAGUAUAUUUAUUCAAUGCUAGCGGAGGGAUAGAGUAGAGCAAAACUGAAAAUAACAUCUGACAAUCGCCCGUGGAGGACAGACAGCCCGAGACAGGAGGCAGAGUACAGUACGUAACGAUGUAUGAUGAU
rnacentral:sRNA from 2 species